UUUGAAAAGGAUAGUACACUUGUAAGUGUGCGACAAAAUCUCAGAGACUUGACAUUCGAAGUUUUCAAGCGAAAAUCAAAAUGUUCCAUGAAAUGGGGCGCAGAAGACAAUGAGGAAAGAAUUAUUAUUACCAGAGAUGGUUCAACUGAUGGAACAUUAUCCAACCACAAUAAAAAGAUUUGGAUUGCGCAAGUUUUGCAGUGCUGCCUUUUACCUGAUGGUGAAACUUAGUUCCGGCCAUAAAUCCGAGGGAGACACAAGAACGGUCAAGAGGUCAGGUUCUGGCGGGGAACAAGCAUG